CAUUUCUUGUUAGAACUGACUAGAUCUAUUUCGAUGUGUAGUAUUAUAACUGGGUGAAAGGCAAGUCCAGCAGUGUGUGACUACAAUUAGGCCUAUAGGUAGAGAAACUCACAUAGAACUCUGUUUAAGUAUGUUGUUACUAAUAUGACCAUUUUUUAAUAUUGGCUUUGUUAUCAUUGUAAUGCCAUAAGCAGUCGAAUAUUAGAACUAUAGUCAAUCAUCUGUUAGGAAAAUGUUGGUAUUAGAAAAUAAAAUCAAAGUUUAACAAAGAAC